GAUGAACGCUGGCGGCGUGCCUAAUACAUGCAAGUCGAGCGAACAGACGAGGAGCUUGCUCCUCUGAUGUUAGCGGCGGACGGGUGAGUAACACGUGGAUAACCUACCUAUAAGACUGGGAUAACUUCGGGAAACCGGAGCUAAUACCGGAUAACAUGUUGAACCGCAUGGUUCAACAGUGAAAGACGGUCUUGCUGUCACUUAUAGAUGGAUCCGCGCCGCAUUAGCUAGUUGGUAAGGUAACGGCUUACCAAGGCAACGAUGCGUAGCCGACCUGAGAGGGUGAUUGGCCACAUUGGCACAGAGACAGGGUCCAGACUCCUACGGGAGGCAGCAGUAGGGAAUCCUCCGCAAUGGGGGAAAGCCUGACGGAGCAAAGCCGCGGGAGUGAAGAAGGUGUUCGGAUGGUAAAACUCUGUUAUUAGUGAAGAACAAAUGUGUAAGUACCUAUGCACGUAUUGACGGUACCUAAUGAGAAAGCCACGGCUAACUACGUG
rnacentral:rRNA from 1 species